rnacentral:rRNA from 1 species
UAACGCGUGAGGAACCUGCCUCAAAGAGGGGGACAACAGUUGGAAACGACUGCUAAUACCGCAUAAGCCCACGGUGCCGCAUGGCACAGAGGGAAAAGGAGCAAUCCGCUUUGAGAUGGCCUCGCGUCCGAUUAGCUAGUUGGUGAGGUAACGGCCCACCAAGGCGACGAUCGGUAGCCGGACUGAGAGGUUGAACGGCCACAUUGGGACUGAGACACGGCCCAGACUCCUACGGGAGGCAGCAGUGGGGAAUAUUGUACAAUGGAGGAAACCCUGAUGCAGCGACGCCGCGUGGAGGAAGAAGGUCUUCGGAUUGUAAACUCCUGUUGUUGGGGAAGAUAAUGACGGUACCCAACAAGGAAGUGACGGCUAACUACGUGCCAGCAGCCGCGGUAAAACGUAGGUCACAAGCGUUGUCCGGAAUUACUGGGUGUAAAGGGAGCGCAGGCGGGAAGACAAGUUGGAAGUGAAAUCUAUGGGCUCAACCCAUAAACUGCUUUCAAAACUGUUUUUCUUGAGUAGUGCAGAGGUAGGCGGAAUUCCCGGUGUAGCGGUGGAAUGCGUAGAUAUCGGGAGGAACACCAGUGGCGAAGGCGG